rnacentral:rRNA from 1 species
GUGGGGAAUAUUGGACAAUGGGCGCAAGCCUGAUCCAGCCAUGCCGCGUGAGUGAUGAAGGCCUUAGGGUUGUAAAGCUCUUUUGUCCGGGAAGAUAAUGACUGUACCGGAAGAAUAAGCCCCGGCUAACUUCGUGCCAGCAGCCGCGGUAAUACGAAGGGGGCUAGCGUUGUUCGGAAUCACUGGGCGUAAAGCGCACGUAGGCGGACCAUUAAGUCAGGGGUGAAAGCCUGGAGCUCAACUCCAGAACUGCCUUUGAUACUGAUGGUCUCGAGUUCGGAAGAGGUUGGUGGAACUGCGAGUGUAGAGGUGAAAUUCGUAGAUAUUCGCAAGAACACCAGUGGCGAAGGCGGCCAACUGGUCCGAUACUGACGCUGAGGUGCGAAAGCGUGGGGAGCAAACAGGAUUAGAUACCCCUGUAGUCC